ensembl:lncRNA
CACACCUGGCAUACUAAGCACCUGAAGAGCCAACACAAAGCCGAUCAGGACAUGCCCCCCACUUUACUCCGCUCUUCCCCCUCACUAUGGCUCCCUUGAAGUAUCCCUUAGAACAGCAAUAGUGAGGUUAUGGCUGCAAUAUCAGUGGUACACUGCUCUACGGUGUCCUCGACAUCGCCCACACGGAGGAGUGUAAAUGGAAGAGACUAUGCUGCUGAGGCCUCACAGCUGCGAGCAGAUUUUUGUAAAUCAACCCAUGGUAAGGAGGAGUGCAGUGAAGCAAGGGAUCCCGAGUAAUUGUUGGUUCAUGACCUCAGCAUACAGAGACCCUCCACCUGAAGACCUAACUUCCUGCAAUCACCCGACACUAAAUGUCUUACAUUGAAAUAAA